GCGGCUCCGCUCCUCCUGACGGGGCGCUCCGCCCUCAGAGCUGCGCUGGCUGAACGAAGCUGCUUCCCUGAGAGAGGAGAUGAGGUUCCACGUGUAGGUUUUCCCUUCCCCCUGGCAGGGCAGGCACUAUCAGCAUCCCAGGCAGAACCAGGAGGUGUGCUGGAGGAGGAUUGCUUUGUUCCUGGCUGAUGGACUAAAGUAAACGUAGAGAAAAAGGUGCACAUAGUCGUCAUUGUCGUCAGCAACUGGAGAUGGUAAGAGUCAUUUAGCUUCAUUUAGACAACCU